rnacentral:rRNA from 1 species
UGCCAGCAGCCGCGGUAAGACAGAGGGUGCAAACGUUGCUCGGAAUCACUGGGCGUAAAGGGCGUGUAGGCGGACGUGUAAGUCGGGCGUGAAAUCCCUGGGCUCAACCCAGGAACUGCACUCGAAACUGCGCGUCUUGAGUACCGGAGAGGAAGGUGGAAUUCCUGGUGUAGAGGUGAAAUUCGUAGAUAUCAGGAGGAACACCAGUGGCGAAGGCGGCCUUCUGGACGGUAACUGACGCUGAGACGCGAAAGCGUGGGGAGCAAACAGGAUUAGAUACCCUGGUAGUCCACGCUGUAAACGAUGAACACUAGGUGUCGUGGGUAUUGACCCCUGCGGUGCCGUAGCUAACGCAUUAAGUGUUCCGCCUGGGAAGUACGGUCGCAAGACUAAAACUUAAAGGAAUUGGCGGGGGAC